rnacentral:rRNA from 1 species
CAAUAGCGUUUAUUAAAGUUGUUGCGGUAAAAAAGCUCGUAGUUGGAUUUCUACCGAAGAUAGCCGGUCGGGUCUUCGACCUUGUAUCUGGUUUUGUCUUUGGUAUCCUCAUAGGGAACGUUUCUGCGCUUUAUUGCGUGGUGCGGUAUCUAUGACUUUUACUUUGAGGAAAUUAGAGUGUUCACGGCAGGCAAACGCCUUGAAUAUAUUAGCAUGGAAUAAUAACAUAGGAUCUUCGUCCUAUUUUGUUGGUUUCUAGGGCUAAGAUAAUGAUUAAUAGGGAUAAUUGGGGGCAUCUGUAUCAACGCGUCAGAGGUGGAAUUCUUGGAUUGCGUUGCGACAAACUACUGCGAAAGCAUUUGCCAAGGAUGUUUUCAUUGA